UCUUACAACUGGAAACUCCCUAUAUUUGGACUAAGAAACCAUCAACAAAAGACUAAACACUCUUAUUGUUCUGCUUUCCUCCCUGUGAAGAUGUCUUGCAAGUGGUUGCCACCCAUCAGCUCAGUUCGCACCUCAAAGCACAUUGCAGGAGGGGGAUAAAAACCCAAAACCAAAUUUACUAUAGGAUUGACUACAAGCAUUGGCAUUGGUCUGAGACCCCAAGCACAACUGACCUGGCGGAGAAAUAGAAAUACAGCCACAGAGAAAAUCUUCAUAGUAUUGCCUUGCUGUGUCUGAUUUAGAUACAUAUACUGUUUGGUCCUCGGGGAUUGGACCCUGGAU